rnacentral:rRNA from 1 species
AACGAACGCUGGCGGCAUGCCUAACACAUGCAAGUCGAACGAAGCCUUCGGGCUUAGUGGCGCACGGGUGCGUAACGCGUGGGAAUCUGCCCUUGGGUUCGGAAUAACAGUUAGAAAUGACUGCUAAUACCGGAUGAUGUCUUCGGACCAAAGAUUUAUCGGCAAGGGAUGAGCCCGCGUAGGAUUAGGUAGUUGGUGGGGUAAAGGCCUACCAAGCCGACGAUCCUUAGCUGGUCUGAGAGGAUGAUCAGCCACACUGGGACUGAGACACGGCCCAGACUCCUACGGGAGGCAGCAGUGGGGAAUAUUGGACAAUGGGCGCAAGCCUGAUCCAGCAAUGCCGCGUGAGUGAUGAAGGCCUUCGGGUCGUAAAGCUCUUUUACCAGGGAUGAUAAUGACAGUACCUGGAGAAUAAGCUCCGGCUAACUCCGUGCCAGCCGCCGCCGUAACAC